rnacentral:rRNA from 1 species
GUGGGGAAUUUUGGACAAUGGGGGCAACCCUGAUCCAGCCAUGCCGCGUGCGGGAAGAAGGCCUUCGGGUUGUAAACCGCUUUUGUCAGGGAAGAAAUCCUUUGGGUUAAUACCUCGGAGGGAUGACGGUACCUGAAGAAUAAGCACCGGCUAACUACGUGCCAGCAGCCGCGGUAAUACGUAGGGUGCGAGCGUUAAUCGGAAUUACUGGGCGUAAAGCGUGCGCAGGCGGUUUUGUAAGAUCGAUGUGAAAUCCCCGGGCUCAACCUGGGAACUGCAUUGGUGACGGCAAGGCUGGAGUGCGGCAGAGGGGGAUGGAAUUCCGCGUGUAGCAGUGAAAUGCGUAGAUAUGCGGAGGAACACCGAUGGCGAAGGCAAUCCCCUGGGCCUGCACUGACGCUCAUGCACGAAAGCGUGGGGAGCAAACAGGAUUAGAAACCCGGGUAGUCC